rnacentral:tRNA from 1 species
GGCUGGUUAGCUCAGUCAGUAGAGCAUAGCUAACAAUGCUAAGGUCGUGGGUUCGAUUCCCAUUCAGUCC